rnacentral:rRNA from 1 species
GACGAACGCUGGCGGCGUGCUUAACACAUGCAAGUCGAACGGAAAGGCCCUGCUUUUGUCGGGUGCUCGAGUGGCGAACGGGUGAGUAACACGUGAGUAACCUGCCCUUUGCUUUGGGAUAACUUCAGGAAACUGGGGCUAAUACCGGAUAGGAGCUCCUGCUGCAUGGUGGGGGUUGGAAAGUUUCGGCGGUUGGGGAUGGACUCGCGGCUUAUCAGCUUGUUGGUGGGGUAGUGGCUUACCAAGGCUUUGACGGGUAGCCGGCCUGAGAGGGUGACCGGCCACAUUGGGACUGAGAUACGGCCCAGAGUCCUACGGGAGGCAGCAGUGGGGAAUAUUGCACAAUGGGCGGAAGCCUGAUGCAGCAACGCCGCGUGCGGGAUGACGGCCUUGGGGUUGUAAACCGCUUUCGCCUGUGACGAAGCGUGAGUGACGGUAAUGGGUAAAGAAGCACCGGCUAACUACGUG